GAGGCAAGGUGAACAUCUGUCUGCUACCACACAUCCGUGGAAGGAUACUGCAGGCCAUCCUCGCGGCGCUCUCCAAGAUCGGACAUUUCAAGCGAUGCAGAUGAUUGUCGCACAGGAACACCAGCACACACUCCUGUGCCCCUUGCAGUACCAUCUCCAUCUGGCAUGGAAAGUGAUGAUAUUUC